rnacentral:rRNA from 1 species
UGGGGAAUUUUGGACAAUGGGCGCAAGCCUGAUCCAGCCAUGCCGCGUGAGUGAAGAAGGCCUUCGGGUUGUAAAGCUCUUUCGGACGGGAAGAAAUGGCGGGCUCUAGCAUAGCCUGUCGAUGACGGUACCGUAAGAAGAAGCACCGGCUAACUACGUGCCAGCAGCCGCGGUAAUACGUAGGGUGCGAGCGUUAAUCGGAAUUACUGGGCGUAAAGCGUGCGCAGGCGGUUUUGUAAGACAGAUGUGAAAUCCCCGGGCUUAACCUGGGAACUGCGUUUGUGACUGCAAGGCUGGAGUACGGCAGAGGGGGGUGGAAUUCCACGUGUAGCAGUGAAAUGCGUAGAGAUGUGGAGGAACACCGAUGGCGAAGGCAGCCCCCUGGGCCUGUACUGACGCUCAUGCACGAAAGCGUGGGGAGCAAACA